CAUGUCUUUUUGUGGAAAAUAAAAAGUCUAACCUGCCCGCUGAAUAUAUUUGAAGGGCCGCAGUAUUUUGACUGUGCAAAGGUAGCAUAAUCAUUUGUCUUUUAAUUAAAGGCUUGAAUGAAUGGUUGGACGAGACACAGACUGUCUCAUUAUUAAAGAUUUAUGAAUUUAGUUUUUGAGUUAAAAACCUCAAAUAAUUUUGGAGGACGAGAAGACCCUAUAGAGUUUAAAUAACAACAAAUUUUUAUUAUAUUGGAAAUAAAUUAAUUUAAAGUAAAUUGUUAUUACAUUGGGGUGAUGGGAAAAUUAAAAUAACUUUUCUUUUAUUAUAACAUAAAUUUAUGAACAAAAUGAUCCAUUUUUUGUGAAGCAAGAAUAAAUUACCUUAGGGAUAACAGCGUAAUUUUAUUAGAGAGUUCUUAUCAAUAAUAAAGUUUGC
rnacentral:rRNA from 1 species